GGUUGUGUAGUGUAGUGGUUAUCACUCGAGAUUUUGAAACCAUCUUGUUCUCCUUCUCGUAACCCCGGUUCGAACCCGGGCACGACCU